rnacentral:rRNA from 1 species
CGACACCGGAGAGGGAGCCUGAGAAACGGCUACCACAUCCAAGGAUGGCAGCAGGCGCGCAAAUUACCCAAUCCCGACACGGGGAGGUAGUGACAAUAAAUAACAAUACGGGGUUCUUUAGGAUCUCGUAAUUGGAAUGAGUACAAUUUAAAUCUCUUAACGAGGAACAAUUGGAGGGCAAGUCUGGUGCCAGCAGCCGCGGUAAUUCCAGCUCCAAUAGCGUAUAUUAAAGUUGUUGCAGUUAAAAAGCUCGUAGUUGAAUUUCGGGGUUAGUAGGUUGGUCAUGCCUCUGGUAUGUACUGGUCUCACUGAUUCCUCCUUCCUGAUGAAUCUUAAUGCCAUUAAUUUGGUGUUUUGGGGAAUUUGGACUGUUACUUUGAAAAAAUUAGAGUGUUUAAAGCAAGCUAACGCUUGAAUACAUUAGCAUGGAAUAAUGAAAUAGGACGUUCGAUCCUAUUUUGUUGGUUUCUAGGAUUGACGUAAUGAUUAAUAGGGAUGGUUGGGGGCAUUAGUAUUCAAUUGUCAGAGGUGAAAUUCUUGGAUUUAUUGAAGACUAACUACUGCGAAAGCAUUUGCCAAGGAUGUUUUCAUUAAUCAAGAACGAAAGUUAGGGAUCGRAAAACGAUCAGAUACCGUCGUAUCUUAACCAUAAACUAUGCCGACUAGGAUCGGAUGAUGUUAWUUUUUAAUGACUCAAUCCGCSCYUACGGAACA